AUUGAACGCUGGCGGCAGGCUUAACACAUGCAAGUCGAGCGAGCGGCGGACGGGUGAGUAAUGUCUGGGCAACUGCCUGAUGGAGGGGGAUAACUACUGGAAAAGGUAGCUAAUACCGCAUACCAUCAGAUGUACCCAGAUGGGAUUAGCUAUUGGGGGGGGUAAUGGCUCACCUAGGCGACGAUCCCUAGCUGGUCUGAGAGGAUGACCGCCAACACGGGAACUGAGACACGGCCCAAAUCCCUACGGGAGGAGGCGGGGGGGAAUAUUGCACAUGGGGGUCAAGCCGAAUGCGGCCAUGCCGCGUGUGGGAAACGGGCCUUCGGGUGGUAAGCCACUUUCAGCGAGAAGGCGUUACUCGCAUAAGAAGCACCGGCUAACUCCGUGCCAGCAGCCGCGGUAAUUC
rnacentral:rRNA from 1 species